rnacentral:misc_RNA from 1 species
UUUAAAAGUAAUAUAACAUCACGAAAAAUCAAGAAUUCCCAGGCAACUUGAAGCCUUGAACCCUCUUUGCUUCCUAAGGUCGUUAAUGUUUCAAAACCAUGGCUAAACAUCUACAAGAAAAACACAUCCUGGACAAUUAAAGUAGCAAAUCGUAUGCCGCAGUUAUUAAUAAUAAGAGUUGCAGUUGAUUUAAAAAAGUACACUAAACUGUUUAUCAUGCCAAGACUAGAACACCUCAUAGGGCAUGGCACCGAUCCUACAGAGCGAUCACUAGCACACACUUCCACUUCCUCUCAAUAUGAUGGAGAAGCAGACCUAGGGGUAACAGACCGAGAAACAUACCCAGAGCUAUAACUCACGCUUGGGCUCCUAGACGAGCCACCAUGGUAUCUUCUCCUCGAGUUCUUCCUUCCCUUUGGAGAAAGGCUACUAGAGUAACUCCUCUUUGUGCUCUUCCCCACUCUUGGGGAAAGGCUACUAGAGUAACUCCUCUUUGUGCUCUUCCCCACUCUUGGGGAAAGGCUUCCAGAGUAACUCCUCCUUGAGCUUCUUUUUGAUGCAGGAGAAAUGCUGUGUGAGUAGCUCCUCCUUGAGCCCCUUCUUCGGCUAGGUGAAAUGGUGCUUGAGUAGCUCCUCCUUGAGCUUCUCCUUGUCCUCUGUGGGCUAGGACUCCAGGAAAUCGAGCGAUAACGAUGUCUUCUAUAGUAACGAUCAUCUGGUGAAUAAUAUCUAGAAUCAUAAGGAGAGUGUGAAUGAUCAUGCCUACUUACAGGGUACCUACUGUAAGGAGACCUGGAGUACGAUCUGCGCCUGCUAUAGUAGUAGGGAGAAUGUGAUCUGCGUCGACGGUAAUAAGGAGAGUUGGAUCGGCGCCUGCUGUAGUGAGGAGAAUAUGACCUGCUCCUACUGCGUUCAGAUGAAUAAUAAGGUGACUGACUCCUGCUCCUCUGAUAAGGAGAGUAGCUGGGUGAUCGACGAGGAGAAUAACUAGGUGUCCAGCGUCGAACACGAAUAGUUCUCAGCCCCAAAUACUUUCCAGGAGUAGGAGUUCGUCCUCUCCGCCUCUUAGCCUAACACAAAUUAAAAGAGUGAGGUCAUCGAAUUACAAAACCACUUUAAAUAGAAAGAGAUGCAUAAAAUUUACUCUUUUCUAUGGAGUAUAUCCACACAUAUGGGAUCAUACCAAAUUUUCAUAACAAAUAAAGUGAUAGCAAAAUCAGUAUGGCAGCUUAACAGCACAAGAUUUAAUUUCCAAAAAAAAAAAAGAGAGAUGCAGGGCAUACAACCCUAACAGUCUGAUACUUCGUGGUGUGUUUGAUUUGUUUGUUUAGUUGUGGUAAGAACUUUGGAGUUUGGUGAAGAGCUGCUACGCACAGCUAACCUGCUGCCACAGAAACUUCAAGUGGAAAGAAGCAAACAACUUUCAAACUAAUACAGAAUUCUUAAUGCAAAUUGAAGCUGGCACAAAUUAACCAUGAUCCAAUAAACUUGAGUUGGUCACCGUGAACAAAAUGAGUAAAUUUUUUACCUUCUCCACUGUAAUGACACGGCCUUCAAGAACAGAGUGGUUCAAAUACUUGAUGCAGCUAUCAGCCUCAUCAACAGUGGACAUUGUUACAAAACCAAAUCCACGAGAUUCUCUCGUCCAUGGAUCAACCACCAGAUGAACAUCGAUCACCUAGAAAAACAAAGCCUUUAAUGGUAAAAACACAAGAAAUAAAACAAAAUAAUCUACAAAUCCAAUUCUGAGCACUUCUACUAUUAAAAAUUCCUUAUUAAUCCAAUCUGUUCCAAUCAUGGGAAAAUUCUAAUGUUCCUAAAUUGGCUAUCAAAAAAUAGAUCAGUUAUGUUAGGCACACCGUUCCCUCACUGGCAAAAUGCUUCUCAAGAUCUCUCUUGGUGAUACGUGGUGACAGUCCUGUCACAUACAAAUUGUUACCAGGGUUUUCCACGUCACUUGUGGGGCUCCUGUUAACCAAACCAAAUCAAAACACUGGACUUGUUAAACUAUGUAUCAACAGACUUCCAUACAGAAAUCAGCUCUGCAACCAUAGCAAUACCUUGACCUGUCCCUCUCCCUUGAUCUCGACCUUGACACCGACAAAGAUCUCGACACGG